rnacentral:rRNA from 1 species
UUCCUACGGGAGGCAGCAGUGGGGAAUAUUGCACAAUGGGGGAAACCCUGAUGCAGCAACGCCGCGUGAGUGAUGAAGGUUUUCGGAUCGUAAAGCUCUGUCUUUGGGGAAGAUAAUGACGGUACCCAAGGAGGAAGCCACGGCUAACUACGUGCCAGCAGCCGCGGUAAUA